UCAAACUUGGUCAUUUAGAGGAAGUAAAAGUCGUAACAAGGUCUCCGUUGGUGAACCAGCGGAGGGAUCAUUACAGAGUGUCAAAACUCCCAAAACCCAUGUGAACAUACCUAUCGUUGCUUCGGCGGGACUGCCCCGGGCGCCUUGUGUGCCCCGGAAACAGGCGCCCGCCGGGGGACCCAAACUCUUGUUUUAUUGAGUAUCUUCUGAGUAAACGUUUUUAAAUAAAUAAAAACUUUCAACAACGGAUCUCUUGGUUCUGGCAUCGAUGAAGAACGCAGC
rnacentral:misc_RNA from 1 species